AGAGUGUGUGUGUCUGUCUGCGUCAGAGGGACGGAGGGAGAAGGAGAGCAGGGGAGCCAGAGAGGGAGAGAAAGAGAGGGAGGUAGGCACAGAAAGAGAGGAGGACAGAGAGAGAGAGAGACUGAGGGAGAAGGAGAGUCUUAGUGCUGUGUAACAUAUGAUAGUAGUUUCUCUCGGCAGGGCCGGGCUGUGAGAGCGUGGUCGGCAGCGGUGUCUCGAGUGUGCUGGGAAAGCACCUUUAUCCCAGAGGGACUCAUACACACAGAGAGAGAGAGAGAGAGAGAGAGAGAGAGAGAGAGAGAGAGAGAGAAAGAGAGUGUGUCGGCUUCAGCACAGCACAGCGCUGUCACUUUAAGCCUGUUACUGAUUACACUCAGUAACAGAAUGCAACUGGAGUAGAAAAAAAUACUGACAGAGAAAGAAGGAAAGAAAGAAAGAAAGAAAGAAAGAAAGAAAGAAAGAAAGAAAGAAAGAAAGAAAGAAAGAAAGAAAGAAAGAAAGAAAGAAAGAAAGAAAGAAAGAAAGAUGUAAGGACAGAUUCUUUUGAAUUUGGUUUAGUUUAGUUUCACAGAAACUGUGAAGUUGUGGAAGGGUGAGAGACAAUUAUCUCUCUCUCUCUCUCUCUCUCUCUCUCUCUCUCUAUUCCUGAGAGUGGCAAACUGGAGGGGAACCCCAGAUUAUCUGCUAGAGAGAGAGCGGGGACAGAGAAAAAGAGGAGGAAGAAGAGGGAAACAGACAGAGAGACAGACAUACCGAGACAGUGAGAGUCAUAGAGAAUGAGAAGGGGACCUUUCAAACCUGGUAAGAGGCUUCCAGACGUCAGGAGGAAAUGCUCCGAGAGGGUAAGUGAAAAAAAUAAAAAUCUCAGCUAACACUGCUGCUUCUGAUGGAUGUCAUAUGGUCCACGUUAAGGCUGAGAAAACGCUCACAGAUCCUCCAUAGUUAGACCAAACUAGAGAGAAACAGAGUUGUUAGAAUCAGGACAGAUUCUUAUUGAAUAGAAAUAUACACUGCAUUUAGAAAAUAGUGACAUCUUUGUGACAGAGAUCCUCUCUUUAACUGUAAGGCCUGUAAGAAUAGGAAGAUGUGUGGCAUUUUUUUGGAUUGAUAUUUGUGUGAGGUACUUUAGCUGAGUGCUAAGUGAUAGAUUGACUGUAAUGUGUUAGUGCUGUGCUGUAUUAAAUGGGGUUUACUACUGACAGUGUUACCUCAUAGUUUGUCUAUACUAGUGCAAUUGCAAAUAGCUAAUUCACUGUUACAUAGCUGUUACAUAGUAAUAGCGUAUAGCUUGGGCAUCGUUGGAAUGAUCCGGAUACAGCUGUAUGAGAGAGCUAUAGCUCUUCUGCAGUCUCCAAAUGUGAGUUCUUUAAAUGAGCUGUAAAUAGUACAUGCGAUAUUGUAUAGGGCAAACUUCAUUUUUUCAUCAUUAGGAUAACAGUCAUAUUAUGUAUCUGUAGUCUAUUUUAUCUAUUCAGUCGUUGACUUGUUCUGUUGGAUUGAUACCAUAUCUCAGAGGGAAUAGUAAUGUUGUAAUAUCAUCUCCUGUCUCUGCGGUCCCCCUCAACCUCUGUCGUGCUGUCUCCCCCAUAAACUUGGGUAAUGGUACAGUCCACUCCUUGUACCCAAUGGCAGAAGGCAUAAAUUAACUCAGAGCACAAAGGAUAGGGGGAUGCGUUGUAGAAGGGGAAGUGAAUGUAUACUAUAUCCUACCACAUGCGGAACUCAGUGCUGUUUCUUUAUGAAUGGGCAGUCUGAGUGCACGAUCUGAUUGGUUGAGAGAAGAGAAUAAUUCCUGAAUGGACAGCAGGGUGCAAUCACCGGUGUUUAGAGUAACCUUCUGCGGUUGCCUUGCUCUCCCCCGGUCACCAGCUGUCCCGAAGGUUGUGUGUGUGUGCGCGUGUUUGCAGUGUUUGCAUAUGUGUGUGGGCGUAUAUGUGUGUGUGUGUGUGUGUGUGUGUGUGUGUGUGUGUGUGUGUGUGUGUGUGUGUGUGUGUGUGUGUGUGUGUGUGUGUGUGUGUGUGUGUGUGUGUGCGUGUCUGCGUAUGUGUGUGUCCAGGUUAGUCUUUUAAGGUUUAAUGUCCAUCAGGCAAUGAUAUGGUUUGAUUUGAUUUUGUAUUUAUUUACUCAAUUGGGUUCAUAACAUACAUUUGUUGUGGGGUGGCACUUCCCUUAGAGUUAGGCAUUACUUCUGGUCCUUCUCUCAGGGGCGUGACAGGUCUUGAAUUGUAGUGGCAUACUAACCUAAUUACUUUAGUGCUGCUCGUACAGAAACAAAUGGAAACAAACGUGAACAAUGGCCAUCCUAAAAUUAGAUCUCAAGGCUACCUGUCAUAGACAUGGGAUCCCUCAGAGGGCACUUUGUGUGUGUGUGUGUGUGUGUGUGUGUGUGUGUGUGUGUGUGUGUGUGUGUGUGUGUGUGUGUGUGUGUGUGUGUGUGUGUGUGCGCGUGGCCCAAGGAAUGUGCUCACAGACAGCCCCUGCAUGCUAGUCCCUCUACACUCCCUCCCACACACUCACACACCCUUUCUCUUUGUUUUACUGCAGUACAAUGAUAUCCAAUCCUAUGGCUCCACCUCAUAUAAGUCUGGUUCCCUCACCCUCCCAGUCCAACUGUCUGGCCAACAGUCACACUCAUGCAAUACUUUCUUUGGUCGUUUACUGAGUGUGUGCGUGCGUGCGUGGGUGCGUGUGGAUAGUAAAACAAGGAAAAUCUGGACAAGUGGGGACAUUAUUUUAAGCUUAGGGGUUAGAUUGAGGGUUACAGUUAGGGAUUAGGGAAAAUAGGAUUUUGAAUGGGAAUGAAUUGUUUGGUCCCCACAAGGAUAGUAAAACAAAUGUGUGUGUGUGUGUGUGUGUGUGUGUGUGUGUGUGUGUGUGUGUGUGUGUGUGUGUGUGUGUGUGUGUGUGUGUGUGUGUGUGUGUGUGUGUGUGUGUGUGUGUGCGUGUGUGCGUGUGUGCAGGUGCUAAAAGUCAGCCAUAAACUUUGUGAAUUGUGUUUCUAUCUGCAUAUCUGUGCUUAUCGUGCCUGCAUUUCUAGACUGUGUGAUAAUCAUGCUGAUGUCGGUGAGAUGCGUCGCCGGUGUCUUGAUGGUUGAGAUAAAAUUCUCAGAGGUAGAUAAUGUUGGAAUCUGCCCUCUAUCUUAAUUCAAUACCUAUGAACUCUAACCUGUCCUUCUUGGCAAAGUCUGGCAGAUGAACAUCUUUCCAUGGCAGAGUAUUUUGGUGGUAAAAGUAGGGUUGAAUAAUGUGAGGUCAUCAGUUCACUGUGCCGUCAGUGUUGGCGGGAUCUUUAAUCACGUCGCUAGCCGAGGUCAGUUUCUAUAACUAGAGCAAUCCUAUUGAACUCCCAUCUAUAGCUUUCCUUUCUGCAUGAGCUGAUUUUGCUUUGUUUAUACAACAAUGGAGUCACUUUCACUGGAAGUCUUAUCAUUCGCAGAGAAAGGAGUUCAGGCAAAGAGCUUAACUUAGACGUCACAAGAGCUGCUCGCUGCGUUUGGUUUGAUGUCACCACACUCAAGUGUGUGUGUGUGUGUGUGUGUGUGUUGUGUGCGCUCGAGGGGUGGAGCCUUUCUGAAGGUGUGUGUGUGUAUUCAGGUACGAUAGGUUCCAACGGUUCUCCACACACCCAUCUGGUACGGUGUGUGUCCCUAUGCCCAUAUAUGGCUGUAGCUUCCCCUACCUGGCGCCUCACCGAGAGUGCAUUGAAUUCUAAUAAGUUGGGGCGCCGGAAAGAGACCCUAGAGUGGAAGCACGUCAUGAAACAGCAGGAUGAACGAGCAAGGCCUGAGAUCUGUGUUUGAAGGAGAUAUUUUUUCCUACUGUAAUCAGCUGGAGCGAUGACUCACAGGGUACAUCAGUUAUUCAGAUGGGAGCCAGUAAUGAGUGUUAUAGUGAAACUCUUUAUCUACUGCUGACUACACUCACAAGAGAUUGGAUACAUAGAAAACAGAAAAACAGGGAUUUUCCUGGCUGAUAUUGCUACUAUGGGAUCUCUCAUCAAUUGCACAUUUUCAACAUAAUUUGCCGGAAACGUAUGGUGAGAUGCCAAUCAGCUAUUCAGGUUAGAAUUCAGUAAGCUUAAAGUUCAAGGGAAGUAGAACGUGUAUCUGACCUUAGAGAGAGUUCACCUUCUAAAAGGUGCCUGAAAGAGUGGCUUUACAUCAUUUAUUAUUUUCAACACGUUUUCCACCCAUUGGAACAAUCCUUACAUUCAUCUAUUGGAACAUCAUUACAGUAGGACAAUACUUACCCGGCAAGGAAGAUACCGUGAUCAAGAAGGUAGGAAGAGGGCGAGGCUCAGCUAUUGCACUCUGGCUGUGCUGACCCCUGCAAAUUCAACAAAUGGAGCAGUGUAAUGCUAUAGGACUGAGCAUAGAACCAGUAACCCUAAAGCAACCAGGGAGAGAGAGACACAUUCAACUCAGCUCCACAGGAUCUAGGGAUCUUGGACCAUCGUCCAUCCAGCUUUCUCUCUCUCUCUCCUCACUUUCUGUCUGUCUGUCUGUCUGUCUGUCUGUCUGUCUGUCUGUCUGUCUGUCUGUCUGUCUGUCUGUCUGUCUGUCUGUCUGUCUGUCUGUCUGUCUGUCUGUCUGUCUGUCUGUCUGUCUGUCUGUCUGUCUGUCUGUCUCUCUCUCUCUCUCUCUCUCUCUCUCUCUCUCUCUCUCUCUCGAUUUGGGACAAGAGAGAGGUUGCCAAUCCUUCAUAAAGGCACUACACCAGGAAGCUUCCCUUUCCUCCUCUCUUUCUAGAUCCUCUCCUCGCCCUGCCAGCCCUUUCCCUUCCGUCCAGCCUUUUGUAAGGUCCCACAGACACCCCUCUCUUGGCUAGGGAUAUGAAUGGGUCUGGGACUGGGGCAUAGGACUGGUACGGGGUUACAGGGAUGGGGCUGAAAUAGCUUCUGGAGCUGGGCCUUUAGUUGUAGGCUCCAGGACCACUGUUUGGCCGAGCAAAACCCAGAUGAACCAUUCAGGGUCCCUUUUCACUUUCAAACUGUUACAUCUGCUCUGCUUUACCCUAAUAAAGCAGAUGCUGUAUUAGAAAGAGAGGAAAUGAGAGGGGGGGGUUGGGUACUGUAUCUAAAACAAUUGGAAUUGGGAACAUUGUGGUAAACGGGAUGGCAGGGACAUUCAACGUUCCAUGACCUUCAUGUCUCCACAGACCAGGAAAUGGCUUCCCUCUCUCUGGUUGGACUGUUCCGCAGAUCCGGCCGAACCAAUCAGACCCUCCAGAUCUGGCCCGGCGGAACGUUGGAGCUGAGUAUCUGAUUGGCCGAUGCUCUGAUGGUCUGAUUGUGCUGAAAGAGGACCAGUUGGUGAGAGUGCUGUAGACUAAGGGUUGGUUAUGGAUAUUGUUCAUCUCUCAUGUGAAUUGAAUUUAGUGGAAAAGCAACCUGUGGCUCUGAACUAUGGAUGAAAAGUGGAGAAAUAGAAAUCAUACUGCCUUGUCUUGGCCUCCAAGCUGAUGAUAAGUAAUAACGAACAUGGCCUGUCCUCCCAACACACACACCCACAAACACACCCAACUUACACAUCCUACACACACCCACACACACAUGCCCACAUACUGUAUACUUCAGUAAACGCCAACACCCACACACAUCCACACAUACAUAAUACCCAACUGCCACCCAAUAAACACACACACACAUACACACACACAGUGAUGGUCGCCCCCUGCUUUGAGGCCAGGCAGGGUAAUGAUUAAGUUCCUCUUGGCUCCUCUUACUGUGUGUCUGUGUGUGUGUGCCUGCCUGCGUGCUUGCGUGCGUGCGUGGAUGUGGUCAGGCCCAGUCAUCUCCCAGGCAGCUAGGAGGAAACCCACAUCAACUGAAACACACUCCAGGAAUAGGCUUACGCUUAUAUAUACACACACACACAGCGCUGGUGUCAACCCUUCUUUAUCUCUCUUCACAAUGUUUUAUAUUGUGUUCUAUAUAAACUCAUGUGACUAUUACAGCUUGUAUUUGGAUGCUUGCUGGCUUGAAGUGUUGUAGAUUUUCUAACCUACUGUAUCUAAAAAUCAAAUGGUAUUUUGCUUUUGUCAGUGGAGUUUGGACUAGUGUACAUCAGUGUGAACAGAAAAGGAUCCACUCCAAUGGCUGUAUGGUGUGUGAUUGUGCUUCCAUUGACCUUGUCCUGCUGAGUAAGACUACAGAUGUAGGAUCUUAAUUUGAUCACUCUUUUGUUGCUGAGAAUUUCCCUGCACAGCAGGAGAUGCAAACUUGUAAUGUGUUUGAGUUUAAAAAAAGCCUUCUAAAGAUUGUCUUUUCCACUUUGACAUUUCAGAUGUGAUUUACCCUAACAAAAAAUGUUUCAAACCCUAUAAAAUGUCCAUGAAUUAUAAUCCACAUAGUAAUUCACAUGUCCUGUUGCUGCAUGGUUAUUGUCCUGCGGUAGCAAACUGGCUCAAGUGAAGAUCCUACAUCUGUAGUGUCCCUCUCAACCGUAAGGCUUUGAGCUUCACUGGAAACAACUGAGCCAUUUACAUACACUUGACCACUUCUGAUAGGCCACAAUGGCAGCAUCACAUGGGUGCACGCCCACACGCCCACACACACAGCAUUAUCAAAGGAUGGAAAGAAGCAGAUAAGAUAGAAGGAUCGAGAGUGGAACAUACCCUAUCACCGUAUCACUGAUCAUGUAAACUAAGUCUAACUGGUUUAGGUCUGUUACCAUUACACACACAAACGCAGUCACACAAUACUCACGCUUUAAUGUUUUCACUGGGUUUGCAGUAUACUCCAGCUUUGCUAAUCUCGGUUAACCCAGAACUAAAUUCUCACGUAGUUGGUAAGCUGCUCGAUUAAGUUCUGGAUCCGUACGUGUUAAGAGAAGAGAGGAAGAGAUACUAGAACGAGGAGCGGAACCGGAACGAGGAGCUCCACCCUCUCUUUUUGACAGUUACAGGCCAAAUGUCCCCUCCCUUUCCGAAACUCGAAAGAUGCUAACAACUGCGAAAUCAUGAUUUGUUCGAAUAACCAAUGAUGAAAAAAAAACAAAAACACUGGAACUAAUGCUGCUCGUUAUCCCACACAUCCCAUUCCUUCCCCACAGAUUCUAACGUACCAGUUAUGUAGAUCUGUCCACGAGAGACUGACACUGUAAGUCUUGAUCAAGUUAUGAUCAGAAGGGAAACAUGAACCCCUGUCGCUGACUUGUUGCAUUGUGUGUGUUAUAGGUGUCCUGAGUGGACCAAGCCGCGGUCACCAGGGUGACCAUGCUCACCACAGCACUGUGCUGUCAGCCGCCCUGCUGACCUUUCAACUACCACCAGACAUCAGCUGUUCUAAUUCUAACAUCUGUCUACAGGAAGCGCAUUCCUCCCCACAGCCCCAGGCCAUGCUCCACCACCCUACCACACAUACAGUACACAGUCCACUGCCCAGUAGUCACUAUUGGCCAUGCUAAAAAGUACAGAAGUGACAAUAUCAUCCGAAGUUUGGC
rnacentral:lncRNA from 1 species